GAUGAACGCUGGCGGCGUGCUUAACACAUGCAAGUCGAGCGAAACACCUUAUUUGAUUUUCUUCGGAACUGAAGAUUUGGUGAUUGAGUGGCGGACGGGUGAGUAACGCGUGGGUAACCUGCCCUGUACAGGGGGAUAACAGUCAGAAAUGACUGCUAAUACCGCAUAAGACCACAGCACCGCAUGGUGCAGGGGUAAAAACUCCGGUGGUACAGGAUGGACCCGCGUCUGAUUAGCUGGUUGGUGAGGUAACGGCUCACCAAGGCGACGAUCAGUAGCCGGCUUGAGAGAGUGAACGGCCACAUUGGGACUGAGACACGGCCCAAACUCCUACGGGAGGCAGCAGUGGGGAAUAUUGCACAAUGGGGGAAACCCUGAUGCAGCGACGCCGCGUGAGUGAAGAAGUAUUUCGGUAUGUAAAGCUCUAUCAGCAGGGAAGAAAAUGACGGUACCUGACUAAGAAGCCCCGGCUAACUACGUG
rnacentral:rRNA from 1 species